rnacentral:rRNA from 1 species
AUACGUAGGGUGCGAGCGUUGUCCGGAAUUACAGGGCGUAAAGAGCUCGUAGGUGGUUUGUCGCGUCGUCUGUGAAAUUCCGGGGCUUAACUCCGGGCGUGCAGGCGAUACGGGCAUAACUUGAGUACUGUAGGGGAGACUGGAAUUCCUGGUGUAGCGGUGAAAUGCGCAGAUAUCAGGAGGAACACCGGUGGCGAAGGGGGGUCUCUGGGCAGUAACUGACGCUGAGGAGCGAAAGCAUGGGUAGCGAACAGGAUUAGAUACCCUGGUAGUCCAUGCCGUAAACGGUGGGCGCUAGGUGUAGGGGUCUUCCACGACUUCUGUGCCGUAGCUAACGCAUUAAGCGCCCCGCCUGGGGAGUACGGCCGCAAGGCUAAAACUCAAAUGAAUUGACGGGG